rnacentral:lncRNA from 13 species
AUGAAAGGUUGUCUACAGAUGCACCCUUGGUGGGUUACCAAGGAAGAACCCCCAACUGUGUCUGCAAUGAAAAGAAAAGAAAGGAGAGAAGGAAAGAAAAAAAAAGGAAUGAAGGAGAGGAAGAAAAAGGAAGAAAAAGAGGGAGAGAGAACGGGAAUGUUGCUUUAUUCUAAAAGCCUCAUCAGAGCACAAAGUUCCAAGCGACUUCAAAGGGUUUUCUGUACUCAGAGCAGCUCUAUGGGGCAUGGAAGAUGA